UACGUAGGGGGCGAGCGUUGUCCGGAUUUAUUGGGCGUAAAGAGCGUGUAGGCGGCCAGGUAGGUCUGCUGUGAAAACUCGAGGCUCAACCUCGAGACGUCGGCGGAAACUAUCUGGCUAGAGUCCGGAAGAGGAGAGUGGAAUUCCUGGUGUAGCGGUGAAAUGCGCAGAUAUCAGGAAGAACACCCGUGGCGAAGGCGGCUCUCUGGGCCGGUAUUGACGCUGAGACGCGAAAGCGUGGGGAGCGAACAGG
rnacentral:rRNA from 1 species